GCUCCAAAGAAGAGGGAAAAUACAAAAAUAAUAUUCUGGUCCGUGGAAUAAGGAAGCAGCUUAUACCAAUAAGAAAUACAAAAACUAGGGAGAAGGUGGACAGAGCAAUAGAAGGCGCACAAAGGGCAGCCGCCAUGGCGAGAACCAAAGUGGAAAUUGCGAAUUCAAGGACUGCACACGCAAGAGCGAAAGCUGACGCUGCUGACCAGGCUGCGCUGGCCGCCCGCCAGGAGUGCGACAUCGCGAGAGCUGUAGCCAGGGAGCUGUCACCUGAUUUCUACCAACCAGGCCCCGAUUAUAUCAAACAGAGAUUGCAGGAAGGUGUAGAUGCUAAAGAAAACCCAGAAGAAAAGGUACCAGAAAAGCCACCUACCCCAAAGGAAUCUCCUCAUUUUUAUCGCAAAGGCACGACACCCCCGAGGUCUCCUGAGGCAAGUCCCAAACAGAGCCACUCUCCCCAACCUCCCUCCCCAAAGUCCAUGAAGAAGCAAAACCCCACCUCUGGGGCCAGACUCAAUCAAGAUAAAAGGAGUAUGGCUGACGAGCAGGUGACAACUGUGGUCAAUAAGCCCUUGAUGUCAAAGGCUCCCUCAAAGGAGGUCGGAGCCAUCGUGUCCCAGUCCAAGUACUCUGGCCGCCACCACAUCCCCACCCCCAGUAAUGGGGAGCUGCAUUCUCAGUAUCACGGCUACUAUGUGAAACUGAACGCCCCCCAGCACCCUCCAGAACACGUGGGGGACGAUGAUGAAGCGAGCCAGUCUUCCUCAGCACUGGUGCACAAGCCAUCGCCUAACAAGUGGAGUCCCCCCAAACCUGUGACAAAACCAGUUGCCAAAGAAAGCAAAGCUGAGCCAAAAGCUAAGAAGUCUGAACUUGCUAUACCAAAGAAUCCAGCAAGCAACGAUUCGUGCCCUUUGGAAAAAGAAGCCAAUUCAGGCCCUAAUUCAGUCAUGAUUGUCCUUGUCAUGCUGUUGAAUAUCGGGUUGGCCAUUCUUUUUGUUCACUUUCUAACUUGAUUGGAAUUAGGAAAGGUAAGAAUAGCCUUAAUUUCUCUACCAAAUUACAGUAAAUAACAUUUCUAUUCUCAUAUUCAAAUUUGCACUUUUUUUUUUUAAACAAUGACAUAUUGUCCUUCACUUUAUUUUGGCUGUGCCUGAAUGUGAUUCAACAUAGUUACUUAAUGCUGUAACUGUUUUGACCCUUCAGUGAAGUCAUGACAACUAGUGGUGUUAGCCCACAGUCCUCUGCCGUGGUGUCGUCAGCCCUUUAAAUGGCACACCCCAGUCAGACUCAGACACAGGCAAGGAGGCUUGGAAUUAGGAUGGGAUCGCGAGAGAGAGAUGACACUUGGAAAAAUUCAGCCAGAGGACCUGUUCAGUUCCCCCUGGGAAUGCUUUGUGGCUUUGGGGUCCUCUGGGAGCUGAAGCACACAGCCAUGUUGGAGAACAAAACUUAAUAAUAAUUCUUUUUUAAAAUCUGCUGAAGCAGCCCCAUCCGGCGAAGUUCUUGGCAUUGGCUACUCCAUCUGUCCUAGCAGAGUGUGACUAAACUGGAAAUGUAUGGAGCUGCAUUUUUUUUUUUUUUUUUUGAUGGAAGUCAACAGCUGCCUUACUAUUUUACCAUCUGACGUUUUUAGUAGGGAGCUGGGGAAACGACUGCCCGAGGAAUGCGGUCGGAGGAUUGUGUUGCUGUGGACGAGGUUCCAACAUUCACUCCUAUCUCAUUAGAAGAAAUAGGUAGCAGCAUCACUCACCAGUCUUAUGCCGUGACCUGCUGCUUUAACAUCUCCUGGAAUGUUCCGGGAGAGAACGUUUCGUUUGCUUGCACGACUCUGCUCAUUUUUGCUGUUUAUUUAAAUACGAUGUACAGUCACCUACCACCUGCGGUCCUGGCUGGACUAAACGCACAUGUUGCAUCUCAAGGAAAAGAAACAACAAAAACGCUAGUGGAAAAUGUGUUUAUUUUGAUAGCAAUACAUCAUUUUUUUAUGUCGUUUAUUCUUAAGCCUAUAAAAGUUUAUUUAUCUUUAAAGCUUAACAAUCUGAAGGCAUUAUACCUUCCAAAGAAAUAAUCUAAAUAUUUUUAACAUGACCGAGAUGAAUUAUUUAUGCACUUAGGAGGUGCUAAAUUUUAAAAGCUGAAAGACAACAGAAUUUUAAAGUAUAGUCAAAAUGUUGCAUGGAUUGCAGUAAUCAGUGUUUAAAGGAUUCAGUUUCAUUGCUGACGUACUUUACAACCAAAUAAAAUCUUGUCAGUGGCUAUGUUAAUUCCCAUGAAAGUUAAGCAAGAUGCUAUAAAUAACUACUCUUCUCUUUUUAUUUUCUUUCCAACUUAAAUUUUUGUUGAAUACAUUCAGGUAGAGCAUAAAACCUUGUUAAAAAUCACUGCUUCUCAAUCUUCUGCCUUUCAUGUUUUUCAAAAGUCUUUUUGUAACUUCAUUUCAAAUUUUAAAGACUUAGAUAUUUUUAUUUUAAAUAUUUGUCCUUUGUUAUUCUGACAUACUCCUUUUUUGCUGUUUUAUAAUUUAUCCUUUAUUACUCAGAAGCAUGCUUAGAGAAUCUGCAUAGUCUUUAUAAAAGUAAUUAUUAAAAAAGAAAUCAGGGGAGGAAAGGUAUGUUAAAUCUCUUGAAAACAUUACUCUGUGGAGGGGGAGCACUUCCUAAAGACGUUCAUGAUUUGCCUGGUUUAAUCGGAUUCUUUUUACAUUACUAGCUACCUUCUCAGUGCAGAAGAGACAGUUCACGUAGUUCCCACGGUAGCACAGGUGUGGGCUGCAUGCUUUGUCACCUGCAGGGUAGUAACCCAGUGGUGUUUUUUGCAGAAGUACAAUAUGUUGAGAAUCCUGGGUGUGACCAAUAUGGAAUAAAGAAGGCGGCAGAAAGAGAGCAAAUGAAAAAUUACAACUUGUAUAUUUAUUUUUUACAUUUUUGCUUUGACUUUUUCGAUUUAGGAAGUACGUUUUUACCCAAGAACAAACGUUUAAGUUCCUGUGUCAGUCUCAGCACUCUCACUGCUCCUCCUAACCCUUUAGCUCCUUAUGCUGGGGAAAGCUGAUUUUUUUUUAAGAAAAUAAAAUAUUUAAUCUUAUUAAGUGUUUAUUUAAAAUGUGUAAUGCUUUGGAGAUAAUGGGUAACAGAUAACUAAAGGAUAUGUUUAUAAAGUGAGCAUGUUUGUUCCAUUUAUAAAUAUAUGUAUGAUUUAUAAGCUUUUUUAAAACAAAGCUCAAAUUGUUGGUAUUUUUCUAAAAUGUGCCCAGCUGUAUUUUACAUGAAGGCUCUUUCUAAUGGGUUGUUAUACUGUACUCUACAUUUUGGACAGCACAUGAAGUCUGCCAAUGUACUUAAUAAAACAUGACUUUGUUUAUUUAAAGUUUCUUGCUGUGAAAAAGAACUCCCUACCUGUGAGUUCCUUUAUUUAUAAUCCUUGAAACCAAAAUGUAUAAUGUACAGUUUUCACAACUGUAUCAGCUCUAAUAAAAAGAAAUCGGUUAUUAAUAAAGUUUGGAGGUGUGUUUCCUUUGUGAGUAAAUUACUGUCUUUUGUGGACUUUUUUUUUUG
ensembl:lincRNA